AUACGGAGGGGGCUAGCGUUGUUCGGAAUUACUGGGCGUAAAGCGCGCGUAGGCGGUCCGCGUAGUCAGGCGUGAAAGCCCCGGGCUCAACCUGGGAACUGCGUUUGAUACUGGCGGGCUAGAGUCCGGGAGAGGGUAGUGGAAUUCCCAGUGUAGAGGUGAAAUUCGUAGAUAUUGGGAAGAACACCAGUGGCGAAGGCGGCAACCUAGACCGGUACUGACGCUGAGGUGCGAAAGCGUGUGGAGCAAACAGGAUUAGAAACCCCAGUAGUCC
rnacentral:rRNA from 1 species